GGAUGAACGCUGGCGGCGUGCCUAAUACAUUCAAGUCGAGCGAACGGACGAGAAGCUUGCUUUUCUGAUGUUAGCGGCGGACGGGUGAGUAACACGUGGAUAACCUACCUAUAAGACUGGGAUAACUUCGGGAAACCGGAGCUAAUACCGGAUAAUAUUUUGAACCGCAUGGUUCAAAAGUGAAAGACGGUCUUGCUGUCACUUAUAGAUGGAUCCGCGCUGCAUUAGCUAGUUGGUAAGGUAACGGCUUACCAAGGCAACGAUGCAUAGCCGACCUGAGAGGGUGAUCGGCCACACUGGAACUGAGACACGGUCCAGACUCCUACGGGAGGCAGCAGUAGGGAAUCUUCCGCAAUGGGCGAAAGCCUGACGGAGCAACGCCGCGUGAGUGAUGAAGGUCUUCGGAUCGUAAAACUCUGUUAUUAGGGAAGAACAUAUGUGUAAGUAACUGUGCACAUCUUGACGGUACCUAAUCAGAAAGCCACGGCUAACUACGUG
rnacentral:rRNA from 1 species